rnacentral:rRNA from 1 species
AUGAACGCUAGCGACAGGCUUAACACAUGCAAGUCGAGGGGCAGCACUGGUAGCAAUACCGGGUGGCGACCGGCGCACGGGUGAGUAACGCGUAUGCAACUUACCUAUCAGAGGGGGAUAACCCGGCGAAAGUCGGACUAAUACCGCAUGAAGCAGGGGCCCCGCAUGGGGAUAUUUGCUAAAGAUUCAUCGCUGAUAGAUAGGCAUGCGUUCCAUUAGGCAGUUGGCGGGGUAACGGCCCACCAAACCGACGAUGGAUAGGGGUUCUGAGAGGAAGGUCCCCCACAUUGGUACUGAGACACGGACCAAACUCCUACGGGAGGCAGCAGUGAGGAAUAUUGGUCAAUGGGCGUAAGCCUGAACCAGCCAAGUCGCGUGAGGGAUGAAGGUUCUAUGGAUCGUAAACCUCUUUUAUAAGGGAAUAAAGUGCGGGACGUGUCCCGUUUUGUAUGUACCUUAUGAAUAAGGAUCGGCUAACUCCGUGCCAGCAGCCGCGGUAAUACGGAGGAUCCGAGCGUUAUCCGGAUUUAUUGGGUUUAAAGGGUGCGUAGGCGGCCUUUUAAGUCAGCGGUGAAAGUCUGUGGCUCAACCAUAGAAUUGCCGUUGAAACUGGGGGGCUUGAGUAUGUUUGAGGCAGGCGGAAGGCGUGGUGUAGCGGUGAAAUGCUUAGAUAUCACGCAGAACCCCGAUUGCGAAGGCAGCCUGCCAAGCCAUGACUGACGCUGAUGCACGAAAGCGUGGGGAUCAAACAGGAUUAGAUACCCUGGUAGUCCAAGGAAGAAACGAUGAUCACUAGGUGGUUGGGAUAAAGUGGAAGCGGCACAGCGAAAGCGUUAAGUGAUCCACCUGGGGAGUACGCCGGCAACGGUGAAACUCAAAGGAAUUGACGGGGGCCCGCACAAGCGGAGGAACAUGUGGUUUAAUUCGAUGAUACGCGAGGAACCUUACCCGGGUUUGAACGCAUUCGGACCGAGGUGGAAACACCUUUUCUAGCAAUAGCCGUUUGCGAGGUGCUGCAUGGUUGUCGUCAGCUCGUGCCGUGAGGUGUCGGCUUAAGUGCCAUAACGAGCGCAACCCUUGCCACUAGUUACUAACAGGUGAUGCUGAGGACUCUGGUGGGACUGCCAGCGUAAGCUGCGAGGAAGGCGGGGAUGACGUCAAAUCAGCACGGCCCUUACAUCCGGGGCGACACACGUGUUACAAUGGCGUGGACAAAGGGAAGCCACCUGGCGACAGGGAGCGAAUCCCCAAACCACGUCUCAGUUCGGAUCGGAGUCUGCAACCCGACUCCGUGAAGCUGGAUUCGCUAGUAAUCGCGCAUCAGCCAUGGCGCGGUGAAUACGUUCCCGGGCCUUGUACACACCGCCCGUCAAGCCAUGGGAGCCGGGGGUACCUGAAGUCCGUAACCGAAAGGAUCGGCCUAGGGUAAAACUGGUGACUGGGGCU